rnacentral:tRNA from 2 species
AAGGCUUUAGCUUAAUUAAAGUACCUGUUUUGCAUACAGGAGAUGUGGGUUAGGAGCCUGCAAGUCUUA